GCUACUAGGAGCAAGAAUCCUCUCUCUUAGCACCAGUGCUUGAGGUCAUCCUGUCCUUUCGCUGGGGAGACAAAAAGAAGCCACUUUGGGCCUCUGGCUCUUUCUUUGCCUCAAAAUCAGUCUCUCAUUUCAUGACUUCAUUUCCACGGCUGCUGGUGAGUGAUACUUCACUGAAAGGCUCCUAUUGGAGUAAGCAAAUUAGGAACAAGAGCAUAUGGGACAGUUGAAAGUUAGAGUUGCAAGUUCUGUUUAAAAAUAAAUAGAAUUUAGCUGUCAGCCUAGACACUUUGAUUUCCAAUUCCUUCUUCUUGCAAAGCUGCUUCUUUCAGCCCUCCUUUGUUAAAAUGACAGCUCUGUCAGUCCUUUGUUAGAUUUGACAGUUUUGUGACUUACUCUUUAGGUCUAGAUAAUCGGUAUAGAAAAGUACAUUAACUAAAGUUUGUAAAGGGCCAGGAUAUUUGGAAUUUCACUUAUCAGAUACUAUUGCAGAAGUAUUGAAAUCAAUAUCUGGACAGCACCAUCUUCUCUCCACCCCUUCCAAGACUCAUCACUAGCUGACAGAAAAAUGUACAAGUGGAGAGCGGUGGCUUUUCUUUGAUUAGUUGAGAACUAAUAAUUAGUGUCUCACAUCUUGGGGGGGUGGGGGAAUAUUUCUAACAGGCUUUGACUAUAUGCUCAUUUCAGUUUUUCUUAGAGUACCAUAAAAAUAAGUUAAACAUUGAACUGCUGUUUUUCCAUUUAAGGGAAAGGUAUUUUUUUUUUCAUCUGACAAUAAAUAGUCUAGUUAAGUAGACGAACUAUGGGAGGCCAAAAUAAAUACUGAGGCUAUAUAUUGCCUUAGGUCUCAAAACAUCAACAGCAGGAAAUGGUUCCAAAGAGUCCAACCUCCCCCCGGCAGAGACUUUUUGGUUUUUGUUUUGUAAUGGGAAUUCUGCUCACUUAACUGUAUGGCAGAGAAUGAUAUAACUACUUGUGGGGUGGGGAAUAUUACAAAUAUUCCUUCUCUCCUCUUGGGGAUUAGUGACCACUCGGAAAAGCUUUUUACAGAUUAUGGUAGUCUUGCCCUUCCUCCCAUCCCCCAAAUCUACUACUCAACUAUGAGUUCCUGCUCUAAUGGUUAGCCUGGGUGGUUGAAAAAGGAGUAGUCAAUAAGGGCCUGACCCAAUGCCCAUUGAAAUCAAUUAGUGGUUCCACUGAUCUCAAUGCGUGUUUAUCUCAGACCCUUAUUGACUGCUCCUUUUCCAACUACCAAGUUUUCCUUUGGGGGUGACCUAUUGGUAACUUGGCAUACAGAUAACUGAAGAAGCACAGUUUUUGUAAUUUUAGAUAUAUCUGACAGAGCUAAAACGACUACCUCUCUCCUAGCAAAGGUGCUGCAUUUGAGGUGGAAUGCAGUGUGGUGGGUUCCUUCCACAUCAGCCAAAAUCAGCAGGCAGUGAAAGUUAAUACCUAUAAUACUAUUUUAUUGUCAAAACUGCUUAGCACUUUGAAAUGUCAAAUCUAUUUGGCACUACCCUACUGAUGACGAACUGGAGCUGUGGUAUAACUGAGAUGGGGAAAACUGAGGCACAGUGAUGGAAGCAACUUACCCAAGGUCACCCAGCAGGCUAGUGGCAGAGCCAGGCAUAGAAGCCAGAGUUCUUGUGGGUGCAUUGGUGGUUGUGUGUUUUUUUUUUUUAAGAUGGCCUAAUCUAUUUAGAUAGAUGCAGCCUUCUGUGUUUGUUUGGUUUAGCUUAAAAGUUAACUCAGUUUUGUGCUGAGUAUGACUACCCCUUAAUGGAACUGUGUUGGAAAAAUAAAUGAACUCCAGAGCAA